CAAGUAGCGUGAAGGAUGACUGCCUAUGGGUUGUAAACUUCUUUUAUAUGGGAAUAAGUGGAGUAUGUAUACUCUUUUGUAUGUACCAUAUGAAUAAGGAUCGGCUAACUCCGUGCCAGCAGCCGCGGUAAUACGGAGGAUCCGAGCGUUAUCCGGAUUUAUUGGGUUUAAAGGGGGCGUAGGCGGAUGCUUAAGUCAGUUGUGAAAGUUUGCGGCCCCACCGUAAAAUUGCAGUUGAAACUGGGUGUCUUGAGUGCAGUAUAGGCAGGCGGAAUUCG
rnacentral:rRNA from 1 species